AAUAAAGUGCCUGAAUAAAGGAUUAUUCUGAUAGAAUAAAUAAUGUAAUUUUUUACCUUUAUUA
rnacentral:tRNA from 1 species